UUUCCCUAUGUGAUCUAUCACGCACAGAGUCAUCAAACCGGAGGGCAAACAAAUUGAGAAAACCAUGUUCUGGAAAAAUAACUUUCUGCUUAAACCGCAAUUAAUGAGGCUGGCUGAAGGAUUCGCAUCUCCACAAAACAAGGCAGACCCCUCUCCUGCCCCCCUAGGAAGCUUCUCAACAAGGAACAUAAAAGUCUGGCUGCACCAGAAGGCAUCAGGGGCUCUGGAUGUGCCCUCUGCACCAGGGCCUUCCGCAGCUGGUGGACCAAAAGUUGCUGCAGACGCAUUCUGGCAGCUGCCCUCAAAAGCAGACAGCCUUCAGCUCAGCCAGGGACAUGGCUCACUUCUGUACAGCACACCCCAUCUUCACCAUUCAUCCUCCAAUACACAACCUGUUAUAACUCCUUAGCGAGAUGGGACGAAAAAAAAGCAUAAAAAAUAAGGUAUGUCUUACAUCCUCUUCAGACCACCUCCCUGCUCCCAACGGCUACCAUUCCCUGGGUGCCCAUGGAAGUCCACCAGAAAUAUAAUCUAAAUGUCAGGCUCUGUAGAUCACAAACUGCCUCUAAGGUGAUUCCUUCUGAGAAUAGCUCUUCAUUGCUGGGGCACUGAAGGCCUAAGACAGAUACUAACAAAACAGCCGUCUGCUAAAGCAACAAUUUGCAAUGUGCCCUGAGACUUGACUAUAACCUCUAAAUUUUUUUUCCAUAGUUAUUCUUCAAGUUUUACUUUACUUUCCACCCAUUACAUGAAGUUACUCUCAGCAGCAAUGACCGCCCAGACAUGCCAAUCUUUGCUGCUUCAGUUAUGGCAAAGCAUUUUGCAGAGGAAAGUCUCCUGAAAAUAACAUCCACAGCUGUAGAAACCAAGCUUCUUUGUCAAGAUGACCCCAAAUGGGUCCAAAAGACCUUGAGUGAAAGAAUACACCCUGGUACCCUUGUUCUGCUUUUACCUCUGUGUUGUCUGUUUCUCUCUCAUUUUCGUGGUUCUUCCUUACUUUGGACUGAUCUGUGAAAGCCUCUAAAGGGAUCACAAAGCUGGAUAAAAACCUAGAGUGUUUGCCAAACUGACAAAAAAACAAAAACAAAAACAAAACUCAGAAGAGAAAACAUCAAGCCAAGCCAAGUCAAACAUCAAUCUACUUUUGUGUGCUUUGUUUCAUUAAGUUUACUUUAUGAUUCAUUUGUAACAAACUGGGGUGGAUAAUGAGCACUUGCAUCACAAACCUCUGUGUGCUUAAGUAAUCACUCACGCUCCACAAGAAAGGAUUAGAUAACAGAAACAGAGCCCUCUCAUUUGCCAAAGUGUUUGGUGGUCUGAGCACAAGCGGAGAUCUCUCAGUAAGCGCCGAGCCGAUAGCUCUAGCAAUGAAGCAGUCACGUCACCGCCAAAGCGUUUGAGCCCUGUGAGGACAGUCCAGCCCAUUGCGUUCAAGUGUGCCAAGAUGUCCUGAAAGCGCAUCACUGGGCACGCCGCAGCCCUGGGCAGCUGCUUCCCAGGCAAAGGGUCCAGGAGACACCCAUGCGUGGAUGAGCUGACAGGUCUCCCAGAGGACACUGCCAACCCUGUCUUAAAAGUCACGAGAUGGCAAAUGCCUGAGGCUGCAGAAGUCUAAGCAUCUAACUCAUUGGUCUCGGUGCUUCAGUUCAGGAUCAGGUCUAGCUCCCCCAGAGAUUACCUAGGCCCCUUUCCACAUUGCAGCCCAAGAUCUCCAGGCUUUACAAACACAAGAAAAACAUACCCUGUUGCAAGCUGCUCACAUUUCGGACUGAAUGUGUCAGGUGGACAAACACAAAGGGGAAGCAAGCACAGGGUGACAUCAUAUUAAAACAAAACAGGCUUUGCAGGUGAGUUCAUUCCCCAUGCAACAUUAGCCUCUUAUGCUGAGAAAUUCCAGCAUCUUUCUGGUUUACUUAAUUUCCUUAAUAUUUCACUCUUAAGUGAUUCUACAAGGAGUCAGCUCAUUAUGAAGACAUUAGACUGCCUAAACUUCAGGACUUCUAUGUGCUAAUUCCUGGCUGUGCCUGUCACCUGUCUCCUCCAGCCAGGAUCACAAAACGCCCACGGCAGGCACGCAGCAAUUGCACCCCCCUUCCUGCCGACUUGCAGGAGCUGCUUCGGUAACGAUAACCGCUGUGCUGGAGAGGGCAUCUCCCACAUGACAGGCAGCUGGAAAUGAGCUGAUCAAGCAAGAAAAAAGCACCCAGGAUUGAACUGCAGGCAAGCUGCAGGUGUUGUGAUAAUUAUGAGAGUUUGGCAAACCACGGGAACAGCACAUGUUCCUAAAACAGCAGCACAGGCUUUUAUACUUUCAUUGCACAUCUGUGCAUCAGUGUCUCAGCCCCCCUCCCAGGCAUUUUGAAAGUACAACUUUGGGUGAAGAUCCAAACACUCAGCAAAGCAAUAAACGGGAAAGCGUCCCUUCCCAUAGCAGCAGGGUUGCAACUAGAUCUUUAAGGUCCCUUCCAACCCAAAGCAUUCUAUGAUUCUGCGAUCAGAGCCCACUCUCCUCCCUCACACUGACUAGACCAGCUGUUGAGGGUGGGCAUGUGUUGCAUGGUGAGAGGUGACUUGGGGAUGCUUCAUGGUACUGUGUCCAUUACAGAGCGGGGAACCUGUCCCUACUGGACACCUUCAGUGAUUUUGCUUGGUGAAUCCCUCCAGCUAUGCAGGAGAAGCAGCACAGCAUGCAUCUCAUGCCUUUUGCAAGCUAGGCCUGAGGGAAUAAGCAGCCAACAGGAAAGGUUCCCACUUCUGCUGACUCCAAUUCCCCCUCGUCCUUAGUUUUUCAGGUGUUUUUUUUUUUCUUUUUAAAAAGCAUUUUCCCCCAUAUUUUCUAACAAUUUCCAAUUUUGCAAGAACUUAAGUGAAAGAAUAUAGGUUCUUUUCCCACUAUAAGGCCCCAGAAAUAAGCAACAUCCACUUCAGCCUGUAUUUCCCCACCUCUGCUGAAGCAGAAUUCUCCUGUGGAAGGGAAAGGCAUGCAAGUUUACCAGCUUUCACUUUUCUGUGCAUCCUGUUAACACACAUUACAGUUUCCCACUCAUUAAUCCUGCAAAGGAGCAUUUACAGUGUAUUUAAAAUGGUUUUCCUCCUUUACUAGCUCCCUGUGGUGCCGUCCAGUUUCUGAUCUGAAGAGCAAUCAAUAAAUAAGCUCCGCCGUCCACCGGGGUUCCUGGCUGCCCAAUUAGAAUAGCAAACCCCAACGUGCUGUUUUAUUAUACGACGACAGCAGUCGGCUUUGGCGCGGCUCGCAGUGCCUAAUGCUGGUUUUAGAUGUUUGUAUUUGAGUAACAAAGCAGUGUCGGCCUGGGAAGUCAGCAGGGCUGUUCUGUGCCAAACUACAUACAAAUUCACUCACCGAGGACUGUGAGUUUCCAUCGCAGAGCAUUUUCGCCAACUGGUUGCGUGGGGGUUGAUGGCCAUGUCAUCAUUUUAAUUGCUUGAAACAGUGAAUGGGUGGAUUUCUGGCUUGUCGAGGGCAUUGUGCAGAAAAGAGACAUUAUUAAUCUUUCCAAAGCCUAGCUGGUGAGCAGGUCCUUAAAACAGCUGAAGAGCCAGCAAAACGCACUCGGCAAGUGGGCAGCCUGCCAUGGUGAGGGACAGCAUGGACCAUGGCUCAAAGGGAAGGUGCUGCCGGCUGGUGAGCUCUUCUCAAGCUGCUAAAUAAAUAACAUUUAAAAGCCUGGCAAGAGGGAGCAUAAACAGAAGAUGCUGCUCCGUCUCAUAUAGUUUUGAGAAAGAGGGAUAUGUUUUCCUGGGGCUCCACAGAUAUACUUUGUGGACCCCUGAACUGGCAACAUCUGCAACUGCUUGUGCCAAUGUGGGGUCACCAUCCCUCCCUCCCCAGUGCCUGGCCUGCAGGAAACAAUGAACAUCCACUGAUGCUACCAGCGAAAAGAGCUGCUUGGCUGGCACAGAUCAAGCCUGAAGAUCCUCCAGAGAAAGCAAAGACUGUGUAGAUGGGCUCUGCCUGCCUCUCCCACAGCCACAGGGAUUCCUGCUGCCUGGCAGAUCCAUGCUGGCAAGCACAGCAGCUGGUGGGAAAAGAGCAGGACAGGAUAGAAAGAGCCAGCUUGCAGGUAGCUGAGAAGAGGAAUCCCAUCUUGCCAGACUGAAGUUUUUCAACAUAUCUGAAAUGAAAACCAAGCUAACUCCAAAGGUGUUGGCAGGAGGGGACUGUAUGUCUUUGCAGGGAAGCACCACCCGUGAACCAGGAUUUCUUCUUAUUGCCUGGUUCCUUGGGCCACUGAGCUCCACAGAGAGCUUCACUCGCUGCAGAGAGCACACUUCCACAGAAGAGUAGUUCAGUCCACAGCGUUCCUCACCACACUAAGGAAGGUACCAGGUUGGAAGAAACAUUUUCCCCAACACACGCACACUGGCAGAGGAAGAGGCAGGAGUCCCUGAGAGACAGAAAUGUCCCCAUUUUCUCAGCCUGUCCUCACAUCACCAUUUUCCUGCCUUUAACAGACUCCUGCAGGGUCUAGCCAGCAGCUCAGCCGGUGAAUCUGAGCCCAGGUUUGCCUCACUGCACUCCUACUGCUGGAUCCCAGCCUCCUCUCCUUGGCCAUCACAAAACCACUCAGUCAGCUACACCACUCCCCCAAAACAGUAACUUUUAAACUUAAAAUCAGAUGCAUGGCAAAAGCAGCAGCAUGUUCAGCCAGCACAGCACCUCAUAGGCAACAAGCAGGCUCUGCUCUACCAGGCAGCAAACCCAAACAGUUAGCAAAUGCAGAGUCCCUUCCCAACAUAUGUUCUCAAACAGUGGAUUAAAAUACGUUGUUUUGUAUUUGAAAUGCAGCCUUGCAGGGGAGACCUGCAGGUCUGAAGAGCUUGAAGUCCAUCUCCCAGCACUGCCUUACCCAUUGCAAGGCAAGUCCCUGCCUGGUGAUUCAUUCUGCUCCUUCCACCCCUCCCUGAAGACACCCUACUCCAGGCUGCAACCACUACAAGUUCUUCAGGAAAAGAAUUGGGUUUGAUGCUUAUGGAUCUACACUAGUGAAAUUAGUGGCAACUAGUAAUUUGUUUUCAGAUUUCAGAGUUGUUUUGGAG
ensembl:lncRNA